GAAAGAAAGGCAAUCAAUUAGUUAUUCGUCAAAGUUUCAUUUAUUCAAUGACCAGAAUUAAACGGGGAUAUAUAGCUCGGAGACGUAGAACAAAAAUUCGUUUAUUUGCAUCAAGCUUUCGAGGGGCUCAUUCAAGGCUUACUAGAACUAUUACUCAACAGAAAAUAAGAACUUUAGUUUCGGCUCAUCGGGAUAGGGAUAAGAAAAAGAGAGAUUUUCGUCGUUUGUGGAUCACUAGGAUAAACGCAGUAAUUCGCGAAAGGGGAGUAUCCUAUAGUUAUAGUAGAUUAAUACACGAUCUGUACAAGAGACAGUUGCAUCUUAACCGUAAAAUACUUGCACAAAUAGCUAUAUCAAAUAGGAAUUGUCUUUAUAUGAUUUCGAACGAAAUCAUAAAGGAAGUAGAUUGGAAAGAAUCCACCAGAAUAAUUUAAAUGGAGUUACCCGGAGAAUGAACUCCGGGAAGGUAGAGUAGAAAUUAGUAUGAGAAAAUAUACUUAGAUAGUCAAAAUGAAUGAACACAUUCAAUUCAAUAAAAACAGAUUUCUUUUUUUCCGAUUCAUUUUUUUCUUACGACACGAUACUCAAAUCUAGAUUCUUGUAAUUAUGAUUCAAGUGAAGAAAAAGUAAGCCUAUUUAUUUCGGGCUUUAAAACCAGUAGUUCUAGAGGUCGACUCGGUUCUUUCAAAUUGUUUCUCAUUAUUGAGAAAAGGUAACAAAGAUAAAAUACGAGCUUGUUUAAUAGCAAGAGUAAUUAAUCGUUGUUGUUUCAAGGUCAAUCUAUUCACACGUCUUGAUAAUAUUUUUCCUUGUUCACUAAUAAAUCGACUAAUUAAACUCAUGUUUCUAUAAUCAAUUCGAUCCCCCGAUUGAAUCGUGGGCAAACGCCUACGAAAAGAUCGCUUGAAUUUAAGAAAAGGUCGCUUGGAUUUAUCCAUGGUUUGUUUGUUUAAUUUAUUCCUUAUCCCUAAAAUCCUAUUUCUUCAUUCUAAUUCAUUUUAAAUCCACUCAAAAUAGGAUUUUUCAAAAAUAGGAUUUGUUUAUUUUCUAUUUAAAUAUGUUAUAUAUAUAAUGUCAUUUUUUCC